rnacentral:sRNA from 1 species
GCCAGGCACAGUGGCACAUGCCUGUAAUCCCAGAGGCUCGGGAGGCUGAGGUAGGAGGAUCACAAGUUCAAAGCCAGCCUCAGCAAAAGUGAGGCACUAAGCAACUCAGUGAGACCCUGUCUCUA